UUCUAGCCCCGAUUAAGUGUAAAGCCUUUUUGAAAAAAGACCUUAUUUUGAAAAAAGCUUGCAACGGAAAGCGGGAUUAGCU
rnacentral:sRNA from 1 species